rnacentral:rRNA from 1 species
UACAGAGGUCUCAAGCGUUGUCCGGAAUCACUGGGCGUAAAGGGCGCGUAGGUGGCGGGAUAAGCGUGUGGUGAAAGCCCGGGGCUCAACCCCGUGUCUGCCAUGCGGACUGUCUUGCUCGAGCGUAGUAGAGGCAGGUGGAAUUCCGGGUGUAGCGGUGGAAUGCGUAGAGAUCCGGAAGAACACCGGUGGCGAAGGCGGCCUGCUGGGCUACUGCUGACACUGAGGCGCGACAGCGUGGGGAGCAAACAGG